CCAGAGUGCCAAGAUCUGAUCAGGCAGUGUUUAUCCAUGCUGGACUUGGAAAGGCCCUCAUUAGAAGAGCUGUUCUGUCAUCCUUGGAUGAAGGAUAUUCAUCUGCCCUAGAAGAAGGGAGAGAGCCACAGGCACACUUUGAUCCAGGGCCCUGCUGGGGCCCUGGGCAGAGCCCUGAGAGCCUGAUCUGCCCCCAGGGAAGGAGAAGGAGCCCCUGGAGAAGCUGUACCAGGUGGGGCUGCUGCUGUUGGAGAGAGUGAGGAUGACACCAAGGAUGACAAGCUCUUCCUCAGCCUGGCCAGCUGAAGAUGAUGGACUUUGAUUCUGGCACCUUCUUCAAAGCCAGGCUCCACAGUGAAUUUGCAGAUGAGUCCACAUGCAGGGGGAUGUUCUCAGAUUUGGGCAUUGCCCAGCCUGGCUGGGAACCAAAGGCUUCCCCUUUGCUGGGGCAGAUGCAGCUCAUUCUUCAGUGGCUGCCCAGCUGCUUUUGGCAGGGCUGGGGCAUGGCCUGGGGUGGGUACGAAAUGGGAGUGGGCUCCUGGCCCUGCCAACAGCCCCCAGCACCCACCAUGCCCCGGGCUGGGGCUGGGGCAGCCAGCCCGACACAAACAAAGCCCCAUGGUGGGAGCAGAGGUGGGACUCCAGAACUUGUGCAGGGGCUGCUUUGCUGUACAGGCAAGGAAGGGCUUGGGCUUCUCCACUGCCCUUGUUUGCUUUGGGGUCACCGCGAUUUUAGGGGGCAGUGCAGGGGGGGAAGAGAGAAAGUGUGGGCUUCCCUCACCCAUGGAUGGGUUUUUCCCUAUCAUGUGGGGGUUUGGCCUUCCUCAAGGCCCUGACAGAGAUGGGAGUUUUUACUGUUUUUCUUGUUUUCUCUUUUUGUCUCUAAUCUCUUUUCAAUAAUGUGUUGUUUGUUUUUCCAGAGGAAGCGUUCCAGGUGGUCCAGUGUGGAUGGGGAAGUGCUUGGGAGCAGCUGUGGCGUGGAUGGGCCGUGCCCUUGGAGAAGGCUGAGGACAUGGUUUUGGAGCAGCUUUUCUUUCAGCCGUGGCUGGAGUGAGCCAGGCUCUGCGGGUGCUGAGGCUGCUCUGGGCUCUGCCAGGGCUCUGCUGGGCUCAGCCCUGAGCCCAGCUGGGCUGGCUCUGCCCUCACAUUGCUCUGACAG